rnacentral:rRNA from 1 species
AACGGUGGGCACUAGUUGUGGGAACCUUCCACGGUUUCUGCGACGCAGCUAACGCAUUAAGUGCCCCGCCUGGGGAGUACGAUCGCAAGAUUAAAACUCAAAGGAAUUGACGGGGCCCCGCACAAGCAGCGGAGCAUGCGGCUUAAUUCGACGCAACGCGAAGAACCUUACCAAGGCUUGACAUAUACAGGAAUAUGGCAGAAAUGUCAUAGCCGCAAGGUCUGUAUACAGGUGGUGCAUGGUUGUCGUCAGCUCGUGUCGUGAGAUGUUGGGUUAAGUCCCGCAACGAGCGCAACCCUCGUUCUGUGUUGCCAGCAUUUAGUUGGGGACUCACAGGAGACUGCCGGGGUUAACUCGGAGGAAGGUGGGGAUGACGUCAAAUCAUCAUGCCCCUUAUGUCUUGGGCUGCACGCAUGCUACAAUGGCUGGUACAAACGGCUGCGAUACCGCAAGGUGGAGCGAAUCCGAUAAAGCCAGUCUCAGUUCGGAUUGGGGUCUGCAACUCGACCCCAUGAAGUCGGAGUUGCUAGUAAUCGUAGGUCAGCAACGCUACGGUGAAUACGUUCCCGGGGCUUGUACACACCGCCCGUCACGUCACGAAAGUCGGUAACA